rnacentral:rRNA from 1 species
GAUGAACGCUGACAGAAUGCUUAACACAUGCAAGUCGAUUCGAUUUACCUUCGGGUAUUGAGGAUGGCGGACGGGUGAGUAACGCGUAAGGAACUUGCCUCUUGGUCUGGGACAACUGUUGGAAACGACAGCUAAUACCGGAUAUUAUGAGAUUCUCGCAUGGGAAACUUAUGAAAGCUAUAUGCGCCAAGAGAGAGCCUUGCGUUCCAUUAGCUAGUUGGUGGGGUAACGGCCCACCAAGGCGACGAUGGAUAGCCGGCCUGAGAGGGUGAACGGCCACAAGGGGACUGAGACACGGCCCUUACUCCUACGGGAGGCAGCAGUGGGGAAUAUUGGACAAUGGGCCACAAGCCUGAUCCAGCAAUUCUGUGUGCACGAUGAAGGUCUUCGGAUUGUAAAGUGCUUUCAGUUGGGAAGAAGAAAGUGACGGUACCAACAGAAGAAGCGACGGCUAAAUACGUGCCAGCAGCCGCGGUAAUACGUAUGUCGCAAGCGUUAUCCGGAUUUAUUGGGCGUAAAGCGCGUCUAGGCGGAAAAAUAAGUCUGAUGUUAAAAUGCGGGGCUCAACUCCGUAUUGCGUUGGAAACUGNUUUUCUAGAGUACUGGAGAGGUGGGCGGAACUACAAGUGUAGAGGUGAAAUUCGUAGAUAUUUGUAGGAAUGCCGAUGGAGAAGUCAGCUCACUGG